AAAUAAAUUAGAAGAAACGUUUAUUAAAUAAGGACAAAAAUAAACGUCUCUUAUGAAACACGUGUCUUCCAUCCUCUCCUUUUCUUUGCCUCUCGCCACUGUCAAUGCUUCGAUUCUCCCCUUCCUCUUGACUUCCGUCUUCUCUUUUUGCUGCAAGAGAAAGGAAAACAAAAAGGGUCAACAAGGAAUCUUGAAGUCUCCAGAAACAUCUAUCUCCUUUAUUCUCAUGGACCCAAUUUUCACAACGCCUCCAUCAGAAACCGCCGCUGUAAACGGUGGUUAGAGAAUGGGUUGACAGUGGACCCUUUUCUGGUCGAGGCUUUGCAAAACCCUCCAUUGUCCAACGAUUUGCCAUGUUUGUUGUGCAUAAGAUGCAUGAAAGAUACAUGUGUUCCACUCUGAACCUAAUGUUGGAGAAGGAGAAGAGAAUGGAGAUACCAGAGAAGCAGAGGAUGGAGAGAGAAGAAUCACUAGCAAGAGAACACAACUUGGAGUAUAAAGCAACUUUGAGACGAGCUGUAAUGUUAGAUGUUCCUCACGCUGACUCUAUCUCCUCUUAGUACGGAACAUUUGACAAAACUCAAGAAGAUGAAACCGAAGAACAAGAAACAGAGGAGGAAGAAAAGGAAGAAACGGAGUCGAUUGCAUCAAUGGUGGAGGAAUCAUCGUCGUCAUCCUCUGUACGUCCAUCGUACAAGAGAAGAAGGAAACGUGGUGUUAAGACCAUCGGUUAAAGACGGCGGUGUUCAUGGCAGUGAGAAGGUAAUCCUCAUGACUCCUAAAUUUUCUUGCUAUAUUGUAGAUUUGGCUUCAGAAUCUUUAACCUUUUUUAAGAACCCUUAAUUGAGUUCUUGCAUUGGAGCACUAAAACUAAUUGUCUCUUAACAAAAUUUCUUAUCUUAACUUUAUUAUUUAAAUAUUCAUUAAGAGACCCUAAUGGGUCUCCAUGGUUAA